UUCGCCGAUCUCCUCGUCCCGCUUGACCGACCGUCGUUUAGCAAAGUCGCUCGGUGUUCCCCGUCGGGUUCUUCAAGGAAGACUUCAAGGCCGUCCUUGGUCUCGCGUGAGCCUUGUUCUCCUUCGAGGCGUCAAGUGGUCUAAAAUACGUCUCGGGAUCAGCGGAGGUCACCAUGUUUGAGAGGAAGCUCGGUGAACAACCUGUGGUCCAACACGUGUAGACCAACACAGAGCGAGACCUGCUGUGUGGUCUCAUCACCAGCGUUUUCUGCCCCUUCCACACAAACCGCCGCCAGGAGAACAGUUAACAAUUGCUCUUUCAACUAUUUUAUCGCAUUCAGGCUAUAUCUUGUUAUGCUAUUCAUCUUCUCUGUGGAACUGUGAAAUCCCCAAACAUGUCUGUGUCAUGAGGCAAAACAACUCAGUGGGUUGAAUAGUUAAAAUAAACCAGAGCUUCAGGUGGCUCCAUUUCCUCCGUGGGGGCUCUUUAGUCCUCAGGGUGUUGAGAGUGCAUUUGUUACAACCGCGCAAAUUGGGCUUAAAAGGCCUAGUCAAACACACAACAUCUCAAACCUACCCAAUGCAGUCGCCCACAUAAUCGUUUGAUCUGGAUUUUUUCUUACUCAGAAACGUUCGCCUUUCUUGGGUUCCAUACAGUUACCUCUGAUGUUUCCUGCUUCCCAACUGGAAAAAACAUCCUGGCAUGUAUUUCAUAACUGCCUCAUUAUCUCUUGAGCACCUGUGAAGGGGAUGGGCAAGCUGAGCUUGAAUUAACCCUUCGCCUGUCAGCUAUAGGGCUGGAGAACUUCGAUCGCAGGCGUAUUAGCUGGGUUUUGUUAUUCCUGGCCUAUUUUGUAUUCAUUGCAACAUAGUUAACGGUAGAAGAAUUUCAGGCCUAUAAGGACAUGGACAUGAGUGGGAAAGCAGUAGAGGAACAAGACAGAGAAGAGUAGCUCUGUGAGAUCGUGCACCCGUAACAAAUUCCCUAGUGCAAAACUCGCACAGCCUAUAUGCAGCAGUGUUCUAGAGGUUUAAGUGGAGGUCAAGCAACAAGGGAGUGAUGGAAUCACCAGCCGAAACAGCUCUGAGGUCUUCUGGUUGUCCCCUUCGUGGCCAUAAACCCCAUGUUUUACACCGUCACUAUUUAGCCUGUCGUUCCAUGUAAUUUGCUUGGGCUAAAGGGCAUUUUCAGGCUUUAUUUUGGUUUAUGAAGCGGAUUAUUUUAAGAGUGUCUUGUACAUUGCAAGCAUCCAUGGUACAGUCGUUAAUCUAAGAGGUUAAGAUUAGUAGUAUGGAGUUCCUUAAAGCUUCUUGGCUGAAUUCAGCAUUGUAAAA